GACGAACGCUGGCGGCGGGCUUAACACAUGCAAGUCGAACGGAAAGGCCCUGCUUUUGUGGGGUGCUCGAGUGGCGAACGGGUGAGUAACACGGGAGUAACCUGCCCUGGACUUUGGGAUAACUUCAGGAAACUGGGGCUAAUACCGGAUAGGAGCUCCUGCUGCAUGGUGGGGGUUGGAAAGUUUCGGCGGUUGGGGAUGGACUCGCGGCUUAUCAGCUUGUGGGUGGGGUAGUGGCUUACCAAGGCUUUGACGGGUAGCCGGCCUGAGAGGGUGACCGGCCACAUUGGGACUGAGAUACGGCCCAGACUCCUACGGGAGGCAGCAGUGGGGAAUAUUGCACAAUGGGCGGAAGCCUGAUGCAGCAACGCCGCGUGCGGGAUGACGGCCUUCGGGUUGUAAACCGCUUUCGCCUGUGACGAAGCGUGAGUGACGGUAAUGGGUAAAGAAGCACCGGCUAACUACGUG
rnacentral:rRNA from 1 species